rnacentral:misc_RNA from 1 species
AAGUCGUAACAAGGUUUCCGUAGGUGAACCUGCGGAAGGAUCAUUAACACAAAGUCAACGAGGUUUUCUGUGCGCAAGCGCAGAGACUGAGUUCUCUUUUCACCCCCCUUUUGUGCGAACGUGUGUUUUUAUACUGUUUUGGGUAGAAAGCAGCCAGCACCAGAGAUGCGUUCUCCGGCUCGCUACUGUCUUUUUGCCUUUUUCAACUUUUUAUUAACCCCUUGAACUGUCUUUGACUGAACUUGUAUCUUACGACGCUAGCCGUCGUAACAUAUACACAUCCAACGCUGAACAACUCUUAGCAACGGAUAUCUUGGCUCUC